UACGUAGGGGGCAAGCGUUGUCCGGAUUUAUUGGGCGUAAAGAGCGUGUAGGCGGCUUUGCAAGUCCGUUGUGAAAACUCGAGGCUCAACCUCGAGACGCCGGUGGAAACUGCAAAGCUAGAGUCCGGAAGAGGAGAGUGGAAUUCCUGGUGUAGCGGUGAAAUGCGCAGAUAUCAGGAGGAACACCUGUGGUGUAGACAGCUUUCUGGACCACAAGCUGACGCUGAGACACGAAAGCGUGGGUAGCAAACAGG
rnacentral:rRNA from 1 species